AAGUUCUAAGAGGAUUGCAGAAGCAGCCUCAGGGCAUUGAGCACAGACUGAAUGACUCAGUGACGCUUGGAUCAGGUCAGAUCAAAUUCUCAAGCAAACAGAUGGCUGGGGAUAUUCAGUAACAACGGUGAGGAGAGAGAGGAACAAUUCACAUUUCAAGGGACCCUUCCUCAAAACGGUCUGUUCUGAAGGAGCUUUCCCGCAGAAAUCAUUGGAUUGAAAGGUCUCCAGCGGGUCCGUACAGAUUGGUUUUAGGGUUGAAUUCUCAAGCUUGCUCUGUUCAAGGGAUUGAACCCCUCUGCUACAAAGGGGGGUCAGUUACCUCAGCUAACAGGUUUGUGAUGCCAACACUGUUGGCUCAAUCUCUAUCAUGUCUGAAAUUACCAUGAAGGUCCCAGCUUCUCAACCUCGCCCCUCACCUGAGGUGUGUGACCCAC